UAGCACGGUGGUUAGUGCAGUCUGCCGGAAACAGAAAGACGCGGGUUCAAUUCCCGU
rnacentral:tRNA from 1 species